rnacentral:rRNA from 1 species
UAGGGAAUCUUCCACAAUGGGCGCAAGCCUGAUGGAGCAACACCGCGUGAGUGAAGAAGGGUUUCGGCUCGUAAAGCUCUGUUGUUAAAGAAGAACACGUAUGAGAGUAACUGUUCUUGUAUUGACGGUAUCUAACCAGAAAGCCACGGCUAACUACGUUCCAG